UACCAGCACCCCGAGUGGUCGGGACGAUUAUUGGGCCUAAAGCAUCCGUAGCCGGCCUUACAAGUCCUCCGUUAAAUCCAGCUGCUUAACAGAUGGGCUGCGGAGGAUACUAUAAGACUAGGAGGCAGGAGAGGCAAGCGGUACUCAGUGGGUAGGGGUAAAAUCCGUUGAUCCAUUGAAGACCACCAGUGGCGAAGGCGGCUUGCCAGAAUGCGCUCGACGGUGAGGGAUGAAAGCUGGGAGAGCAAACCGG
rnacentral:rRNA from 1 species